GGGUGGGAGAUACAAACUGUGCUCCAGGCACUGAGAAACACAUUCUUUAACUGCACUUAUGGACUGAUUGCACACACGAUGCUGGGAGUGAUGACCACAGGCUGUGCAGAGGGUCGGGAAGACCCGUGCAUCCACCGUGAGGAGACACGGGAGAAUAGCACAGGAAAGAUGGAACCGAUGUGGGCUUGGCAGGAAUCAGAGGGACGUGAGGACCACAGGGCCAAGACUCUGCAGGGGGUGGUGUCACAGGUCAGACACGAGGGGAGGUAACGUACAGAAAGGAAUGAUGGCAAUUGUUGACAAGGACCAGGUUUGCACCCAACAUAUUGUCACAAUGCCUGAGAGUCAUAAAUGCUGGAGGCGGGGAAGGCAUUGGGGAACGAUGCUCUGAUGUGGACUAGGGUUUCUAGCACAUCCAGUGUCAAAAGGGUAAAUAACGGAAGGAUUGUGGUGGUUCCAAGAGGAGACUGCCAGGCCUAGACAGAGUGGGGGCAGUGCUGGGAUCUGAGGAACAGUGUCACUUACAACCCAUGGAAGUGUACAGGCGGUGCCCGGGGAGUGCGGCCCGGGGAGUGAGCUGGGCUUCCACCGCAGUGGUUCUUCCCGAGGAUGGGGGGGUGGUUUUCACCCGAGGGGGGCCGUGGGCACGGCCCCCAAGGCAGGCCUAUCAAAACAUCUGAGGGGAGCAGUGCUCUGCUCCAACAAACACAAAACCAAAAAAAACCACAAAAAGAAACCCCAAAACCACAGCCCGAUGAUGAUGCUGAUAGGCAGUCUUGGGGGUCACGCGUCCUCGGGUGAGAAUCGCUGGGUGGAAGGGGCAGAGUGGAGGGCGGGCGGAGAGGUGAAGCUUGAGCAGAUGAGCCCCUGAGCCGGGGGUGCGUGGGGACAUCAGAGUCAGGACUGUCAGACACGGGGCAAAGGACGUGGGACCAGGAAGACAGCAAGCAGAUGGAUGUAGCCGAGAAGGCUCCUGGCACACUGGGGACUGGGUGCGGAUUCACGGUCAGCGUGUAGGGAGUGGCGUGCCAAAGUGGUGUUCCCAGAGCUAGGGACGCUUCAGGACUCGGGCCGAGAGAGAGGAGAAUGGCGAUCGAAAGGAAGCUGUGUGAGCACCGUGAGCACAGAGCACGGGGCGGGCUGUCCACGCAGAAGGAAGGGGCGGGCGGGACAGGAGACCACAGGGCUGAUCAUCUGGGGGAGAGAUGCUGCCAGGGAGGGAGGGAGAAAAGGGGUGCUAGACGGUAAUACCUAGAGCCGUGACACCUAGGUCAGGACUGAGUGCUAUGGUGUGUGUGGCACUUCCGCGGCCAGGGCGGGGGGAGGGCAGAGGACAAAGUGCUUGAUGCAAGGCAAAAGGUCGGAAAAUUAGAAAGAGGCUCCCUGAGAGCAGUGGCAGAAGGACGUAACUAACGGGUCCGAAUGGAAACAGGAAAGGUCGCGGGAGGGACGUGUGUGGGGCCCAGGCGGCCUGCAGGGUGUGGGUCCACAGGACGUGAGCAGGGGCUGGCGGGGAGCCGUGUGGAUUCAGUACCGUAUGUCUGAAGCAGAGACGACGGAGGUGGGCUGGGCUGAGCGAGGGUUGAGGGAGCGAGCAGGGAGCACACAGCAGAGAGGACGGCGGAAGCAGCUGGACGGCUCACAGAGGGUAGCUGAAGGGACGUCACGUGGCUCAGGUAAGAGGACGGUUCCGAUGUCAUGUGUGCGGUAGACAAGCAGAGCAGGAGAGGCAGGGGGGCGGGCCCUGGAGGCCCAUCAGGCGGGCAGUCCGCAGCAGGUGGGAGAACAUGGUGGGGGAGAGGUGGUCCGAGGGGCAGGAGUGAGAAGGGGCAGGUGAGGGCCUCGCAGGUAGGGCAGGAGAGGCUGGGGAGGGUCAGGGAGUGUCCUGUGCCGGGAGGGAUGGCAGAAGGCCCGGGGGAGGGAGCGGACGGGAGGCAUCCAGGAACGGUGCCCCCAGGUGUGGACAAGGCCCUGAGGAAGCCCGUGCAGGAGGAGGAGCACAGCAAGGUAAGACCAGCAUUAGAACCUGGAGACAUAGGAGGAGGCCAGAGGAGGAUGCGGUGUUAGAGGUGGCGGCCCAUUGAGAAUGCUGGGGACCCCCUGCCAGCGAAGGCAUGGUGAGGCGAUGCGAGUUCCGAGAGGAGGUUAGAGAAACAACCGCUCCAAGAUGGUGGACCGGCAAAGGUGGGUGGUGGCUUCGGGCAGACGGGGACAAGAGAGGGAUUCGGUACAGCACCCGGGGAAGGACGAUGACAGCAAGGGGGAGCAAGAGGGCUAAUCAAAAGGGGAGGAGAUCUGGAGGAAAGACUAGGAAAUCUGCUGCAUGACUGGCGUGUCGUGGAGAAGUGGGAUGUGGUGCCGAAGAUGAAGAGGUUUCUAGAAGACCAGAGCAGGAGAAAACGUGAGGGAUGGGCUGAGCCAGGUCAGGCUCUGGCCAGCGUGGAAAGAGCAAGACCGUGGAGUCUCAGGCAGCCAUGGAAGGCGGUCCUUCAGAUGUCACUCGGGUCAGGGAACUUAACGGGAAAACAAAGUAACAGGCAGCAUGGAAGAAGGGAGAAAAUCGUGGAUGUAGGAGGGACCCUGGGUCUGUAAAGGGGACACCACGGAAAAGGGGAAGGCAGCUUGCAGAACUCCUGAUCUGGGGGCCGCGGCAAAUCUCAGAAGGCAAGAAGACUGCCGUGUGCAGUAUGGAGGCCAGGGCAGGAACAGACCCGAACCACCGUAGUCGGACAUUGGAAUACCUGGGGCCACCUCGAGCCGGUGGGGAAAGGAGUCACGAUAACUGAGGUGAGACAGGAACGGGGCAGCACUGCCCGUGGACCCUGCACAGAAACCAUGGCAGGGAGCCUCAGGGUUACUGAGGCGGGCUCAGGUGGACGGAGAAGAGGGCUGGGGAGGCGGG